GACUCACACACACACAUAAACUUGUUGUCUACGGCCCGCGACUUUUAUUAAUAAAAUAGCUUUGAUACUGGAUCGCUACAUUAUAUU